rnacentral:rRNA from 1 species
CCUCAGUGUCAGUAUCAGUCCAGGUGGUCGCCUUCGCCACUGGUGUUCCUUCCUAUAUCUACGCAUUUCACCGCUACACAGGAAAUUCCACCACCCUCUACCAUACUCUAGCUUGUCAGUUUUGAAUGCAGUUCCCAGGUUGAGCCCGGGGAUUUCACAUCCAACUUAACAAACCACCUACGCGCGCUUUACGCCCAGUAAUUCCGAUUAACGCUUGCACCCUCUGUAUUACCGCGGCUGCUGGCACAGAGUUAGCCGGUGCUUAUUCUGUCGGUAACGUCAAAACAGCAAAGUAUUAAUUUACUGCCCUUCCUCCCAACUUAAAGUGCUUUACAAUCCGAAGACCUUCUUCACACACGCGGCAUGGCUGGAUCAGGCUUUCGCCCAUUGUCCAAUAUUCCCCACUGCUGCCUCCCGUAGGAGUCUGGACCGUGUCUCAGUUCCAGUGUGACUGAUCAUCCUCUCAGACCAGUUACGGAUCGUCGCCUUGGUGAGCCAUUACCUCACCAACUAGCUAAUCCGACCUAGGCUCAUCUGAUAGCGCAAGGCCCGAAGGUCCCCUGCUUUCUCCCGUAGGACGUAUGCGGUAUUAGCGUCCCUUUCGAGACGUUGUCCCCCACUACCAGGCAGAUUCCUAGGCAUUACUCACCCGUCCGCCGCUGAAU